AAUCUAUUUAUAUUCAUCUAAAUUUAACAACUUAAUAAUUUUGACGAGUUGACCUAAAAUAAAUUUUUUUAAUAAACGAUCCAUUUUGAUUAAAAUGGGCUUGAAAGUCCAAAACGUAGUUCAAACAAACACACAACAAAAGCAGAUAGUAAAUGAAAGUUCAUACAGAUAAAUAAAGAAAAUAAAACACGAUGCAACUCUAGAAGCUUCUUCCAAACCCUUAAGUGACCAGAAAACCCAAAAUGGCCAAAACCUUCCGAGAUCUGGUAAUCGGAACCAGCAAACAAUGGAAGGGAGUUGAGAUAUACCUUUAGAGUAUCAAAAUUUCUCAACCUAGAAUCGCGAGCAAUAGACGAGGGAAACUAUGGUGGUUGGAUGAAACGACAGUCCAAAUCUGCUAUUUCUAACGCUUUUAAUAGAGCAUCUUCAACCUAGAAUGAGUCUUCUAAUCUUCUCAUCCCUUCGACCACCAUCACAUGCGCCGCGUUGUGUUACCUUCUCUUGCAACGAGCUCAAAACAACAUGAAGAAAAAUUCCUUGCUAGAGCCUUUACAUCCCAAGUAAUCAGUCUUAUCUCCUAAUAGUCUUCCUCUGUUGCUUGGAGGUUUUUAAUAAUUGUUCUAGAGUCACUUUCUAGAAUAAUUUUCGUGAAACCCAUCUCCAACGCAAACUAGAGUUCGUGAAUAACAACCAUCACUUCAACCAACGCCACUGAUCUAACUAGGUUAUGAGUUCUGAUUCCCGACCCCAUUAUAAGUCUUCGUCAUUUCUAAUUAAGAAACUUUAUGCUACAUGUUAUUUUGUCUCAGAGAAACCUAUGUCAACAUUCACUUUGACCCAAUUCGUAGGAGGGGGCUUCCAUUUUAUCAAAGCUUUGGGUCUGGGGUUUUGUAACGUUCCAGCUAGCCCAUAAAGAUUUUGGUUCUUCAGCUAUCGGACUCGGGAUUUUUGAAGUCGAAGUCGCCCACACUAUCAAAGCUCCUUUUGGUACACUUUUGGUUGAACUUUGAAAUGGCAUGUAUAGGACACCCUUUUUUUUGUUAUUAGUCAAGUACUCGGUGUUGUAUAUAUUUGGAUAGCCAUGCGAAAAUGGCUUAUAUAUAUUUUGAGCAUAAUGUUAUAAUCA